rnacentral:lncRNA from 1 species
GGGGGGGGUUACAUUGAAGAAUUUUAUGUCAAUCAACCUGCUUUCUAAUAUUCAUAUGUUGAAAUACUGAGACAAAAAUUUUUUAAUGUUCUGAAGAGAACCACCUGGAGAGCUUUAUAAAAAUGAAUUCUACAGCCCCAUCUCCAGGCUCUCACUGUGAUGGAUAAGGAAUCAGUAUCCAGCUGUUCCCAUAACAGUAUACACGUUAAUUUAAUAAUCACACCAGGAAAGCUAUUUUAAUAACUCAAUUAAGUAUUUCCUGAAAUUUGAUUAAAGGAAAAUCGGCAUGUUAAACACUGUGUAUAAGGACACAAAAAAGCAUCCAAAUAUAACCCUUACCUU